CGAAGGAGGUAGAAGUUGAUAGAUUUAUGUAAAUAGUAAUGAGGUGUCACCUUAACUAAACCAUAGUUGGUGAUUUACCUUAGUUAUGUUAUUAGAGUAAAGUAACUAGAGUUACUUUUCCCUUGUAUAUAUACAUGCUAGUGUGCUGAAGAGAGGGGAUCGAAUGUUAGAAAGCCUUACUCUCUUUCCUUUUGUGUUUGUAUUUCACUUGUAUGAAACUUCCUCCCUAUCAAUAAAAAUAGUUACAAACACAAACACAAAAGAAACCACACUAGUAACUAUUUUUAUUGAUAGGGAGGAAGUUUCAUACAAGUGAAAUACAAACACAAAAGGAAAGAGAGUAAGGCUUUCUAACAUUCGAUCCCCUCUCUUCAGCACACUAGCAUGAAUAUAUACAAGGGAAAAGUAACUCUAGUUACUUUACUCUAAUAACAUAACUAAGGUAAAUCACCAACUAUGGUUUAGUUAAGGUGACACCUCAUUACUAUUUACAUAAAUACUAUAUAUAUAUAUAUAUGGAAGGCGAGUUUUCGCUACACAUAUGGCAAGCAGUUAUCAGCCUACUCCUGAACAACAGAAGCAAGCAGAUGAUUUACUAUCUGACAUGGCUACAGAUAUUAGCCAGUUGACCUCCCGUUUAUGGUAGGACAAGAAAUUGAAGAGCUGUCUAAUUUACUUCUCCUAGAUUCCAGCUCAAAUCAGAGUAUGGGAUUAGAUGACGUGGGCUAUCAGAAUCUCGACAACGCUAUGGAAGCAUAAUGGACCCACAUAACUUUCCCGACAGACGCGACAGCAGAUAAAACAUCUACAGUCACUUCGAAGGCGGUAGAAGUUGAUAGAUUUAUGUAAAUAGUAAUGAGGUGUCACCUUAACUAAACCAUAGUUGGUGAUUUACCUUAGUUAUGUUAUUAGAGUAAAGUAACUAGAGUUACUUUUCCCUUGUAUAUAUUCAUGCUAGUGUGCUGAAGAGAGGGCAUCGAAUGUUAGAAAGCCUUACUCUCUUUCCUUUUGUGUUUGUAUUUCACUUGUAUGAAACUUCCUCCCUAUCAAUAAAA
rnacentral:lncRNA from 1 species